AGUGAACGCUGGCGGUAGGCCUAACACAUGCAAGUCGAACGGCAGCACAGUAAGAGCUUGCUCUUACGGGUGGCGAGUGGCGGACGGGUGAGGAAUACAUCGGAAUCUACUUUUUCGUGGGGGAUAACGUAGGGAAACUUACGCUAAUACCGCAUACGACCUACGGGUGAAAGCAGGGGAUCAUCGGACCUUGCGCGAUUGAAUGAGCCGAUGUCGGAUUAGCUAGUUGGCGGGGUAAAGGCCCACCAAGGCGACGAUCCGUAGCUGGUCUGAGAGGAUGAUCAGCCACACUGGAACUGAGACACGGUCCAGACUCCUACGGGAGGCAGCAGUGGGGAAUAUUGGACAAUGGGCGCAAGCCUGAUCCAGCCAUACCGCGUGGGUGAAGAAGGCCUUCGGGUUGUAAAGCCCUUUUGUUGGGAAAGAAAAGCAGCAGGUGAAUACCCCGCUGUUCUGACGGUACCCAAAGAAUAAGCACCGGCUAACUUCGUG
rnacentral:rRNA from 1 species